ensembl:lncRNA
GUUUCUGCUGGAAGGGACAAACUGGGACUUGAUAUCCACUACAUAAAUGCCUUCAAAGGUCGGGGCAUUUUCACGACUGUUCCAUUCCAAAAAGGAGACUUCCUUUUGGAAUACAGAGGUAAACUCAUAACAAAAGAAGAAUGUGAGCGGAGACACAGAGUUUAUCAUGACAGCCUGAAGGUGUUCAUGUUUGAAUUCAAGUUUGAUGGAAAACUCUGGUGUGUGGAUGCAUCUCAAGAAGAUGGGUCAUUAGGCAGACUUGUCAACGACAACCACAUCAGUCCAAGUGCUAAGAUGAAAAUAUUAAAUAUCAAUGGAAAGCCCCAUCUAUGCUUAUUUGCAAGCAGAGACAUAAGUCCAGGCGAAGAAAUAGACUAUAAUUAUGGUGACUCG